AUUGAACGCUGGCGGCAUGCCUUACACAUGCAAGUCGAACGGCAGCACGGGUUCUUGCACCUGGUGGCGAGUGGCGAACGGGUGAGUAAUACAUCGGAACAUGUCCUGUAGUGGGGGAUAGCCCGGCGAAAGCCGGAUUAAUACCGCAUACGAUCCACGGAUGAAAGCGGGGGACCUUCGGGCCUCGCGCUAUAGGGUUGGCCGAUGGCUGAUUAGCUAGUUGGUGGGGUAAAGGCCUACCAAGGCGACGAUCAGUAGCUGGUCUGAGAGGACGACCAGCCACACUGGGACUGAGACACGGCCCAGACUCCUACGGGAGGCAGCAGUGGGGAAUGUUGGACAAUGGGCGAAAGCCUGAUCCAGCAAUGCCGCGUGUGUGAAGAAGGCCUUCGGGUUGUAAAGCACUUUUGUCCGGAAAGAAAUCCUUGACUCUAAUACAGUCGGGGGAUGACGGUACCGGAAGAAUAAGCACCGGCUAACUACGUG
rnacentral:rRNA from 1 species